rnacentral:rRNA from 1 species
AGAGUUUGAUCCUGGCUCAGGAUGAACGCUAGCGGCAGGCCUAACACAUGCAAGUCGAGGGGCAGCACGGUGUAGCAAUACACUGGUGGCGACCGGCGCACGGGUGCGUAACGCGUAUGCAACCUACCCAUAACAGGGGGAUAACACUGAGAAAUUGGUACUAAUACCCCAUAACAUCAGGACCGGCAUCGGUUCUGGUUGAAAACUCCGGUGGUUAUGGAUGGGCAUGCGUUGUAUUAGCUGGUUGGUGAGGUAACGGCUCACCAAGGCAACGAUACAUAGGGGGACUGAGAGGUUAACCCCCCACAUUGGUACUGAGACACGGACCAAACUCCUACGGGAGGCAGCAGUGAGGAAUAUUGGUCAAUGGACGCAAGUCUGAACCAGCCAUGCCGCGUGCAGGAAGACGGCUCUAUGAGUUGUAAACUGCUUUUGUACGAGGGUAAACGCAGAUACGUGUAUCUGUCUGAAAGUAUCGUACGAAUAAGGAUCGGCUAACUCCGUGCCAGCAGCCGCGGUAAUACGGAGGAUCCAAGCGUUAUCCGGAUUUAUUGGGUUUAAAGGGUGCGUAGGCGGUUUGAUAAGUUAGAGGUGAAAUUUCGGGGCUCAACCCUGAACGUGCCUCUAAUACUGUUGAGCUAGAGAGUAGUUGCGGUAGGCGGAAUGUAUGGUGUAGCGGUGAAAUGCUUAGAGAUCAUACAGAACACCGAUUGCGAAGGCAGCUUACCAAACUAUAUCUGACGUUGAGGCACGAAAGCGUGGGGAGCAAACAGGAUUAGAUACCCUGGUAGUCCACGCAGUAAACGAUGAUAACUCGUUGUCGGCGAUACACAGUCGGUGACUAAGCGAAAGCGAUAAGUUAUCCACCUGGGGAGUACGUUCGCAAGAAUGAAACUCAAAGGAAUUGACGGGGGCCCGCACAAGCGGAGGAACAUGUG